rnacentral:rRNA from 1 species
UACAGAGGGUGCAAGCGUUAUUCGGAAUUACUGGGCGUACAGCGCAUGUAGGCGGGGUGGAAAGUCAGUUGUGAAAUCCCGGGGCUUAACUCCGGAAUUGCAAUUGAAACUUCCAUUCUUGAGAUCGGUAGAGGGUAGUGGAAUUCCUGGUGUAGAGGUGAAAUUCGUAGAUAUCAGGAGGAACACCUGAGGCGAAGGCGGCUACCUGGACCGGGACUGACGCUGAGAUGCGAGAGCGUGGGGAG